AUGGCCGCGGUAUUUUGACCGUGCAAAGGUAGCAUAAUCAUUAGUUUUUUAAUUGAAAGCUGGAAUGAAUGGUUGGACAAGAAAAUUUCUGUCUCUAUUUAAUUUUUUAGAAUUUUAUUUUUUAGUAAGAAAGCUUAAAUUUUUUUAAGGGACGAGAAGACCCUAUAGAAUUUUACAUAUAUUAAGGUUUUCAAUUUUUAGGAUAAUUAUUUUGGAAUUUAUUUUAUGUGUUUUGUUGGGGUGAUAGAAAAAUUUAAAUAACUUUUUUUUAUUUCAAUCAUUGAUUAAUGAAUAUUUGAUCCAUUUAUUGUGAUUAUAAGAUUAAAUUACCUUAGGGAUAACAGC
rnacentral:rRNA from 1 species